rnacentral:tRNA from 1 species
GUUCUGGUAGCUUAAUUAAAGCAUUGUUUUUGUAAACCAAAGCUGGGUCAAACCCCCCGAACA